rnacentral:rRNA from 1 species
UACGAAGGGAGCUAGCGUUGUUCGGAAUUACUGGGCGUAAAGGGCGCGUAGGCGGCUCUGUAAGUCAGAUGUGAAAGCCCCGGGCUUAACCUGGGAACUGCAUUUGAUACUGCAAGGCUAGAGGAUGAGAGAGGAAAGUGGAAUUACGAGUGUAGAGGUGAAAUUCGUAGAUAUUCGUAAGAACACCAGUGGCGAAGGCGGCUUUCUGGCUCAUUACUGACGCUAAGGCGCGAAAGCGUGGGGAGCAAACAGG